AGCGAACGCUGGCGGCAGGCUUAACACAUGCAAGUCGAGCGGGCAUCUUCGGAUGUCAGCGGCAGACGGGUGAGUAACACGUGGGAACGUACCCUUCGGUUCGGAACAACUCUGGGAAACUGGAGCUAAUACCGGAUACGCCCUUAUGGGGAAAGGUUUACUGCCGAAGGAUCGGCCCGCGUCUGAUUAGCUAGUUGGUGGGGUAACGGCCUACCAAGGCGACGAUCAGUAGCUGGUCUGAGAGGAUGAUCAGCCACACUGGGACUGAGACACGGCCCAGACUCCUACGGGUGGCAGCAGUGGGGAAUAUUGGACAAUGGGCGCAAGCCUGAUCCAGCCAUGCCGCGUGAGUGAUGAAGGCCUUAGGGUUGUAAAGCUCUUUUGUCCGGGACGAUAAUGACGGUACCGGAAGAAUAAGCCCCGGCUAACUUCGUG
rnacentral:rRNA from 1 species